rnacentral:rRNA from 1 species
AUGAACGCUGGCGGCGUGCUUAACACAUGCAAGUCGAACGGAAAGGCCCAAGCUUGCUUGGGUACUCGAGUGGCGAACGGGUGAGUAACACGUGGGUGAUCUGCCCUGCACUUCGGGAUAAGCCUGGGAAACUGGGUCUAAUACCGGAUAGGACGAUGGUUUGGAUGCCAUUGUGGAAAGUUUUUUCGGUGUGGGAUGAGCUCGCGGCCUAUCAGCUUGUUGGUGGGGUAAUGGCCUACCAAGGCGUCGACGGGUAGCCGGCCUGAGAGGGUGUACGGCCACAUUGGGACUGAGAUACGGCCCAGACUCCUACGGGAGGCAGCAGUGGGGAAUAUUGCACAAUGGGCGCAGGCCUGAUGCAGCGACGCCGCGUGGGGGAUGACGGCCUUCGGGUUGUAAACUCCUUUCGCUAGGGACGAAGCGUUUUUGUGACGGUACCUGGAGAAGAAGCACCGGCUAACUACGU